rnacentral:rRNA from 1 species
UACAGAGGGUGCAAGCGUUAAUCAGAAUGACUGGGCGUAAAGGGCGUGUAGGUGGUUAAUUAGGUUUGAUGUGAAAUCCCCGGGCUUAACCUGGGAAUUGCGUCGAAAACGGAUUAACUCGAGUGAGAUAGAGGGUUGUGGAAUUUCCGGUGUAGCGGUGAAAUGCGUAGAUAUCUGGAGGAACACCGGUGGCGAAGGCGGCGUUCUGGACUGCAACUGACACUGAGAGACGAAAGCCAGGGGAGCAAACGGG